CCUUUCGUAGCUUAGUGGUCUGAGUACCGGUGUGUAAAGCCAAAGGACCUGGGUUCGAUUCCCGGCGAGGGCC
rnacentral:tRNA from 1 species